AGAGUUUGAUCAUGGCUCAGGAUGAACGCUAGCGGCAGGCUUAACACAUGCAAGUCGAGGGGUAGAAGGAGCUUGCUCCUUUGAGACCGGCGCACGGGUGCGUAACGCGUAUGCAAUCUGCCUUACACUAAGGGAUAGCCCAGAGAAAUUUGGAUUAAUACCUUAUAGUAUAUAGGAGGGACAUCCCUUCUUUAUUAAAGAUUUAUCGGUGUAAGAUGAGCAUGCGUCCCAUUAGCUAGUUGGUGUGGUAACGGCAUACCAAGGCAAUGAUGGGUAGGGGUCCUGAGAGGGAGAUCCCCCACACUGGUACUGAGACACGGACCAGACUCCUACGGGAGGCAGCAGUGAGGAAUAUUGGACAAUGGGCGCAAGCCUGAUCCAGCCAUGCCGCGUGCAGGAUGACGGUCCUAUGGAUUGUAAACUGCUUUUGUACGGGAAGAAACACUCCUUCGUGAAGGAGCUUGACGGUACCGUAAGAAUAAGGAUCGGCUAACUCCGUGCCAGCAGCCGCGGUAAUACGGAGGAUCCAAGCGUUAUCCGGAAUCAUUGGGUUUAAAGGGUCCGUAGGCGGUUUUGUAAGUCAGUGGUGAAAUCCGGCAGCUCAACUGUCGCACUGCCAUUGAUACUGCAGGACUUGAAUUAUUGUGAAGUAACUAGAAUAUGUAGUGUAGCGGUGAAAUGCUUAGAUAUUACAUGGAAUACCCAUUGCGAAGGCAGGUUACUAACAAUACAUUGACGCUGAUGGACGAAAGCGUGGGGAGCGAACAGGAUUAGAUACCCUAGUAGUCC
rnacentral:rRNA from 1 species